rnacentral:sRNA from 1 species
UGAGAAUUAACAAAUGAAAGCGACUGC